AGAGUUUGAUCCUGGCUCAGAUUGAACGCUGGCGGCAUGCCUUACACAUGCAAGUCGAACGGCAGCAUGAUCUAGCUUGCUAGAUUGAUGGCGAGUGGCGAACGGGUGAGUAAUACAUCGGAACGUGCCCUGUAGUGGGGGAUAACUAGUCGAAAGAUUAGCUAAUACCGCAUACGACCUGAGGGUGAAAGUGGGGGACCGCAAGGCCUCAUGCUAUAGGAGCGGCCGAUGUCUGAUUAGCUAGUUGGUGAGGUAAAGGCUCACCAAGGCGACGAUCAGUAGCUGGUCUGAGAGGACGAUCAGCCACACUGGGACUGAGACACGGCCCAGACUCCUACGGGAGGCAGCAGUGGGGAAUUUUGGACAAUGGGCGAAAGCCUGAUCCAGCAAUGCCGCGUGUGUGAAGAAGGCCUUCGGGUUGUAAAGCACUUUUGUCCGGAAAGAAAUGGCUCUGGUUAAUACCUGGGGUCGAUGACGGUACCGGAAGAAUAAGGACCGGCUAACUGCGUGCCAGCAGCCGCGGUAAUACGUAGGGUCCAAGCGUUAAUCGGAAUUACUGGGCGUAAAGCGUGCGCAGGCGGUUGUGCAAGACCGAUGUGAAAUCCCCGAGCUUAACUUGGGAAUUGCAUUGGUGACUGCACGGCUAGAGUGUGUCAGAGGGGGGUAGAAUUCCACGUGUAGCAGUGAAAUGCGUAGAGAUGUGGAGGAAUACCGAUGGCGAAGGCAGCCCCCUGGGAUAACACUGACGCUCAUGCACGAAAGCGUGGGGAGCAAACAGGAUUAGAUACCCUGGUAGUCCACGCCCUAAACGAUGUCAACUAGUUGUUGGGGAUUCAUUUCCUUAGUAACGUAGCUAACGCGUGAAGUUGACCGCCUGGGGAGUACGGUCGCAAGAUUAAA
rnacentral:rRNA from 1 species